GACGAACGCUGGCGGCGUGCCUAACACAUGCAAGUCGAACGGGAGCAAGUGCUUCGGUAUUUGCUUUAGUGGCGAACGGGUGAGUAACGCGUGAAUAACCUGCCUUUCAGUGGGGGACAACAGUCGGAAACGACUGCUAAUACCGCAUAAGCCCACAGCUCGGCAUCGAGCAGAGGGAAAAGGAGUGAUCCGCUUUGAGAUGGCCUCGCGUCCGAUUAGCUGGUUGGUGAGGUAACGGCCCACCAAGGCGACGAUCGGUAGCCGGACUGAGAGGUUGAACGGCCACAUUGGGACUGAGACACGGCCCAG
rnacentral:rRNA from 1 species